rnacentral:rRNA from 1 species
GACUACCUAGGGAGGCAGCAGUGAGGAAUAUUGGUCAAUGGGCGCGAGCCUGAACCAGCCAAGUCGCGUGAGGGAAGACGGUCCUAUGGAUUGUAAACCUCUUUUGUCGGGGAGCAAAAGACGCCACGCGUGGCGUUCCGAGAGUACCCGAGGAAAAAGCAUCGGCUAACUCCGUGCCAGCAGCCGCGGUAAUACGGAGGAUGCGAGCGUUAUCCGGAUUUAUUGGGUUUAAAGGGUGCGCAGGCGGAGGGGCAAGUCAGCGGUCAAAUUGCGGGGCUCAACCCCGUACUGCCGUUGAAACUGCA